GGAGAGAUGGCCGAGUGGUUUAUGGCUCCGGUCUUGAAAACCGGUAUAGUUUCAGCACUAUCGAGGGUUCGAAUCCCUCUCUCUCCU
rnacentral:tRNA from 1 species